rnacentral:rRNA from 1 species
UACAGAGGGUGCGAGCGUUGUCCGGAAUCACUGGGCGUAAAGGGCGCGUAGGUGGCGAGCCAAGUCCCUGGUGAAAGCUCGAUGCUCAACAUCGAGUCGGCCACGGAUACUGGUGCGCUUGAGCACUGUAGAGGCUAAUGGAAUUCCGGGUGUAGCGGUGGAAUGCGUAGAGAUCCGGAAGAACACCGGUGGCGAAGGCGGUUAGCUGGGCAGUUGCUGACGCUGAGGCGCGACAGCGUGGGGAGCAAACAGG